rnacentral:rRNA from 1 species
AUUGAACGCUGGCGGCAGGCCUAACACAUGCAAGUCGAACGAGUGGCGGAGGGGUGAGUAAUGUCUGUGACCCUGCCUGAUGGAGGGGGAUAACAACUGGAAACGGUAGCUAAUCCCGCAUACCAUCAGAUGUGGCCAGAUGGUCUUAGCUUGUUGGUGGGGUAACGGCUCACCAAGGCGACGAUCCCGAGCUGGUCUGAGAGGAUGACCAGCCACACUGGAACUGAGACACGGCCCAGACUCCUACGGGAGGCAGCAGUGGGGAAUAUUGCACAAUGGGCGCAAGCCUGAUACAGCCAUGCCGCGUGUAUGAAGAAGGCCUUCGGGUUGUAAAGUACUUUCAGCGGGGAGGCGUUACCCGCAGAAGAAGCACCGGCUAACUCCGUGCCAGCAGCCGCGGUAAUUC